rnacentral:rRNA from 1 species
AUUGAACGCUGGCGGCAGGCCUAACACAUGCAAGUCGAGCGGAGCGGCGGACGGGUGAGUAAUGCCUAGGAAUCUGCCUGGUAGUGGGGGAUAACGUCCGGAAACGGGCGCUAAUACCGCAUACUAUCAGAUGAGCCUAGGUCGGAUGAGCUAGUGGGUGGGGUAAAGGCCUACCAAGGCUACGAUCCGUAACUGGUCUGAGAGGAUGAUCAGUCAAACGGGAAUUGAGAAACGGUCCAGCCUCCUCCGGGAGGCAGCAGUGGGGAUUAUUGGACAAUGGGCUAAAUCCUGAUCCAGCAAUGCCGCGUGUGGGAAGAAGGUCUUCGGAUUGUAAAGCACGUUAAGUUGGGAGGCGUUACCAAAAGAAUAAGCACCGGCUAACUUCGUGCCAGCAGCCGCGGUAAUAC